UUGGGUAAGUGACUCCGC
rnacentral:misc_RNA from 1 species